AUAAAUUUUAUUCUGGUUUAUAAUAGAGUUACUGUUAACACUCUCAUGAAAAAAGAAUUUAAAUGUAGUAUUAAUAGUAUUAAGUUUAACUUAUUAUUAGAGAGGAGAACUAAAUCAAUUAUAUAAUAAAAUUGGUUAUCAGUAGUUAUUAAAGGUAAAGACUCAGUGCCAGCAUUCGCGGUUAAACUGACUAUUAAUAGUCUUUUUUUAGGUUAAAAUUUUUAAUUAGUUAAUAACAAUCUUGAAUUAAAAUUUGUAAGAUUUAUAUUAAACGUAACUAUUUUAUUAAAGCUAUGAUGUUUAAACAUGGAUUAGAGACCCAUUUAUAAAUAGUUAAAAUUUGUUUCCCUAGUCAAACUAAAAGAAAUUGGCAGUUACUUAUAUUCGUUUAGGGGAGUGUGUAGUUUAAAAGAUGAUCCGCUUAUUAUUUUACCAUAUUAAUUUUAGUUAGUGUAUAUCCGGUUUAAUAUGAUGGUGUAGAGACUCUCAUGAUUAUCAAAAAUUAUAAGCCAGGUCAAUGUGCUGUUUAUAGUAUGGUCACUAUUCGCUACUUUUAUAAUAUAUUAUUUUAAAAUUAAUUUAUUUGGGACUUAACAGUAAAAAAUAGACAACUAGCUUUUUUGAAAAUUUGAUUUGGGUAGUGUACACAUCGCCCGUCAACUUCGAUGAGAAUUGAAGUAAGUCGUAACAUGGUAGUUGUAGGGGAACCUGCAGCUAUAUAAUU
rnacentral:ncRNA from 1 species